CGUGUUCCUUCUCCCCUGCUGACAGGUGGCUCUGCUUUCUCUUUCAAGUCACUGUGAAGACCUUUUCAUAUUUUGGAUGCACUGUCCUGGGUGUAAAGGAAUCCCUGAGUGGCACCAAUUGUAACCAAGCGGCUGGAGGUGUAAGGCCUCCCAGAGGCAGCUUGGUGGCCACUGGAACCCCUGUGGAGCCCAUCCUUACUCUGAGACAUGUACGGUCUGAACAGCAAUUGAUCAUUGGUUGUCCUCCUUAAAGCAGGUGGUCCUUGUAUGAAACACUAAAUGAUAGCCAGAAUCAUGGGAGGGGGUGGGAUGACUUGUUUUGCAAGUUGAUGGACAUGUUUGGUUGUUUGUGUAAAGGCACUAAGUUUGCCGACCACAGGGACAUAGUAUAAUUCACCGUUUCAAAGACCUUGUAUAAAACGCUAAAUGAUAGCCAGAAUCAUGGGAGGGGAUGGGAUGACUUGUUUUGCAAGUUGAUGGACAUGUUUGGUUGUUUGUGUACAGGCACUAAGUUUGCCAACCACAGGGACAUAGUAUAAUUCACCUUUUCAAAUACCUAACUCAGUAUUGUGAAAUUAUAUCUGUAACCAAUGUGAAACGUGUUUCCGUUUUCUCGUCUGUUCUACCACUGGGGAGGAUGUUCGGGCCAUUAAAGCUCAUUUCCAUGAGAUGAAUCCAA